AAAGGCAGUAGUAAUACAGAGUACUUUUGCGUGAAUACGUGCAAAUUGUGUUAUCGAAUUAUUGCAAAAUACAGAAGCUUGUCGUCUGGCACUUGCCAUCGAGGAAUUGAUUAGCCACUACUCAGUUUAUAAAUGAUUAGCUGAAACAAUGUCUCGUCUGGUUACUGCUAACUGCUUGCUAGCUACAAUUGCCUGUCUACUGUGGCAAACUGAAGCUUAUGGAGACGUAAAACUGACGAGCGAUGGACCUGCAGUACUAGGGAGUGUUGUCACCUUCAAAGCAGAGGUGGUUGAUAGCAACGGGGAAGUACCACCAGGAAAGUUCGGUUUUACAUGGCACGAUGAUGCCCUCCGUCCUCAUAAAAAUAAGACUGAUUCAACAACAAAUACUAUAAGCUAUUUCAGAGUAGAAUACAAAGCUCCAGAAUAUCAUGUAGGUGUUUAUCACAUGGAAGUAAUUGUUUGCAAUUGGAUACUAGGUGGUUUGUUUUGUCCUGAAUAUGCCAGCAGAAGGAUACAGAUUCGAGUUAGUUCCAAUCUCAAUGGAAACCUGCAUAUAGAACAAAACAACAAAACUAUGGAGGGUAAAUUUAUAUCAACUAGCAAUGAAACGCAUUUAUCGGUGGAUUUACGUCAAGGAGAUUAUGAUUACAUCACGAGUACAGCCACCUCGAUAUUGACCUACUGGUUUAUUGAUUGCAAGCCUUUCAAUUACACUACUGAUAUGAAAUUUAAUUAUAAUUUUACCAAACCUAGUGAAUUUCAUACCAUACAAGCUCUGGUGAUAGCUUCUUAUGAUCAGCCAGUAACAACAACGAUAGCACCAACUACUACUACCAGCACCACAUCUUCACCAGUAAAUCUAACAAUUCCAGUUCCAUCUAAUUCUAAUUCUUCUAUAAUUACAACCACAACUACCACUGCUAUCACAACUACUACUACUACACCUACUACUACUACAAUCACAACAGCUAAGCCAACUGAGAGUUCAAAUGAAACAGCGGUUUUAGGAAAUCUUACAUUCCCAUUUGUAUGUGGCUCGACUAUUAUUCCAAUUACGAACAAAACAUAUGGUUACUUUCAGAAGGAAGUUAAUACAAGAGCUCCUAUUUCCAAGCUAAAUAUUGAAGGUGCAACGUAUAUCGAUGCGUUCCAAGAACUUCAGUUGACACUCACAUGGAAUGGUACGCCUCCAUUUUACCAAUGCAUUGAACUUCAUACAGGAACAUACAAUGUUACUGGCAAUGAAACUUGUGAUAGUAGCAGAGGUACCAAACUAGAUGUUUAUCAAUAUAAAUUCUCCCAUUUCUUCUUUGAUUAUCUGGAAUGGACUGUAUUGAUAAUUCUUAGCAACGACAUAAGCACAGAAGUUCAUCCUGUGGCUGUAAAUAUUGUUAAAAAAGUACCACAGCCACAGUUAUCAGUGAUAGUGGUGCCAGUCUCGUGUUCCCUAGUAGCCAUUGUGGUGGUAAUCUUUGGUAUCGCUUACUGGGUACAAAGCAGAGCUCGUUUCACGGUCGAAGUGGCGGAUUUUGAUUUCGGACAGAGCAAUACUGACAUGGAAUACAAGACCUUCACCGAACGGCUACGCGACUCAUUCAAUAACGCUGUAAGACCCGGACAACAAAGUCUCUUAGGCAAACGGUCACCUACUUACGGGAGCAUGAACAACUGAAAUGAAGCACUUGAACUUUCAGACUUUUGAUGAACUCACCUUUUUGAAAAAAUGGCUACAAACAGCUGGAUGAGAAUAAAGACAACGCGCAAUGACAAAAUAAUGAAAAGGCAAAGCAACAGCGGUGAACGCAAUUAAAGAAAAUAAAUAAAUGAACCAGAAGACAUUACAGUUUCCACAAUUUUGGGCACAGUAUUAUCAGAGCAGAUUUAAGCGUGUUACCAGCCGGUACGCAAAUCGUCGCUAUAACACAUUGAAGAAGAAAAAUUGUACAUAAUGAAUGGAAAGGCAACCUAUAGGCUGUGAGUGUGACGAUAAGAGAAAAAAAAGGCGUACGUAAUAAUUGUUAAUACCGAGUGAUAACGUACGCAUAUAUCGACGUGAAUGUUUUCUAGGCGAACGUUUUUAUCGCCGAAAUUCUCCUUUCCGAAUCUCUUUAAAAAAAGUAUCUUCGAUUAUUAAGAGUGUUUGUUUUUCAACGGUGUAUGGCUUCGAAACAUACAAGCUAAUAUGCAUCCAUUUUUUAUGGUAAAACUUUACCAUAUAUAAGCGGUUGUUUCUAGUUUUUUUAUUUUUCAUAAUAUUAAUGUUGAUAUAUAUACACUGUACAUUUGUAAUACAUCAUUGCACUGUUUAUCACUUAAGUCAAUCAAAAGAAAGCGGAAGAGAGUGCAAUUGAAAUAUAUAUUUUUAUUAUUUAUGAUACAAUAAAAAAUAAAUAUCAAUCAGACGUGUACGAAUCGUAAAAAGCUAUCGAAUCGUCUAUCGUAACUGAUGAAAAUUAUUACUCACGCAAAAAUAAUGGAGUAGAAAAAAAAUUGUUGAAAAUAAAAGUCGAAGCAUUCAUUCGCAAAUAAACAAUGAUGAAGCUGAACUCAACGAGUCUAAUU